rnacentral:lncRNA from 1 species
GGGGCUUGUUUGAUACUGCUGUUGUUUUUAUGAUCUUGUUUCCCUGCAUAUUAGUGAAAUACUACUUGUUAUUGCUUACUAUGUCCCUAUUCAUUAUUUCCUUCCUUCCUCAUCUUCUUUUCUUCUUAUCUUGCUUUUCUCUUGGCUUCCUAUUGUCCAUUUGAACUCUCUAUACUUUGGUUUCCUUGCCUAUCUAUCUCUGAUUUCUCAUUUUUCUAUCUCAAUGGCAUUCCUUAUGGUUAUAUCUCUCUCCUAUUCUAUCCUUCUCAUAUUAACA